AUGAAUGCUCUUGUACAAAAAUACUACCUCACUGUCCCCAUAUGAGAUUCUAUUUGGGACUGCACCUAGGCUAGGUUGCUAUUUUCCCCAACAACUACAACUUCAAACUGAUGUCUUAGUAGAUUAUGUAACUGAACUCGCAAAUGCUUUAAACAAAAUCCAUGCCCAAGUUUUCUCUUCAAUUCCAGAUCCUGAUUCUGACACAGGCAACCACAGUCUGCUCCCCGGUGACUGGGUUCUGGUCAAGAAAUUUGUGCGAAAACACACCCUGGAACCAAGAUUUGACGGACCGUUCCAAGUUCUCCUGAUCUCCCCUACCUCUGUCAAAUUGGCCGGAAGGCCUAAC